UACGAAGGGGGCUAGCGUUGCUCGGAAUUACUGGGCGUAAAGCGCACGUAGGCGGUCUUUUAAGUCGGGGGUGAAAUCCUGGAGCUCAACUCCAGAACUGCCUUCGAUACUGGAAGACUUGAGUCCGGGAGAGGUGAGUAGAACUGCGAGUGUAGAGGUGAAAUUCGUAGAUAUUCGCAAGAACACCAGUGGCGAAGGCGGGUCUCUGGGCAGUAACUGACGCUGAGGAGCGAAAGCGUGGGGAGCGAACAGG
rnacentral:rRNA from 1 species